rnacentral:tRNA from 1 species
AUUUAUAGUAAAAUUAUUAUAUUUGCCUUCCAAGCAAAAGUUCCAGUUAUGGUAAGUAUAA